rnacentral:rRNA from 1 species
UACGAAGGGGGCGAGCGUUGUUCGGAUUUACUGGGCGUAAAGGGCGCGUAGGCGGCCCUCCUUGUCGCGUGUGAAAGCCCCGGGCUCAACCUGGGAAUUGCGCGCGAAACGGGGGGGCUUGAGUUCGGGAGAGGAGGCGUGGAAUUCCCAGUGUAGAGGUGAAAUUCGUAGAUAUUCGCAAGAACACCAAGUGGCGAAGGCGGCUCGACGUGGCCCGGUACUGACGCUGAGGUGCGAAAGCGUGGGGAGCAAACAGG